rnacentral:rRNA from 1 species
GUGAACCUGCAGCUGGAUCAUUUU